rnacentral:rRNA from 1 species
ACACGUAGGUGGCGAGCGUUGUCCGGAAUUACUGGGUGUAAAGGGCGCGUAGGCGGGUAAGCAAGUCAUGUGUAAAAACUACCGGCUCAACCGGUAAGGGGCACAUGAAACUGCAUAUCUUGAGUACUGGAGAGGGAAGCGGAAUUCCUAGUGUAGCGGUGAAAUGCGUAGAGAUUAGGAGGAACACCAGUGGCGAAGGCGGCUUUCUGGCCAGUAACUGACGCUGAGGCGCGAAAGCGUGGGGAGCAAACAGGAUUAGAUACCCUGGUAGUCCACGCCGUAAACGAUGGAUACUAGAUGUAGGUGGCGGAUGAACCAUCUGUGCCGUAGUAAACACAAUAAGUAUCCCACCUGGGGAGUACGGCCGCAAGGUUGAA